rnacentral:lncRNA from 1 species
CCGUGUGUGCUGGAUGUCUGCCAGCUGAGUAGUGGUGAACAGGAGGGAAAGACCUUUGAGUGGGAGGAGGGAUGGAAUUGACCAGGUCCUUCACAGAGAGUAGGGUUUAAUAGUCCGCUUGGCAGCCAGUGAGCUGGAGGAGCUCUCCUUCUUCAGAACGGGUGCAGCAAGCCCCAGGAUGGCCGCAUGAACCUGACCUUGCCCUGUCCCUCCUUGGAUUUUAGCUAGGCCAGCCCCUGGGGAACUGGCCUGGUUUUACCCAUGUUUGGAAUGCCCAACGUGCCUGGCCCUCCAGAACCACCAGCCCUUCCUCCCUCUGCCCUGGCAGGACCACGUCCUCAGGCUAGCCACUUGAGAGUUACUACCUCUCCCUGAGGGGGAACCAUGGAGGGCGAUGCUGGUGGGUUUGAGGACAGGUAGCAGCAGUGUUGUGUCUUUCAGUUCAGGGGUCUGAUGUGUCCCCCAAUGUGGCAUUGGUAAGCAGCUGCUUGCUGGUGAGGUCUUGGCCUGCAAGCAUCUGGUGCCCAGCCUCGCCCUCUCUGUUCUUGGGGGCUCAGAUGAGCCUAGCCCUCCCCCCAGUAAAAAAGAGGGAGAGAAGUGUUUUUCAUUCAGGGCAGAGCAACUGAGAGAGAGGAUACUGUGCAGGGGUUAAGAGCACAGGUUAUGGAGUUUGUGUCCUGUAUCAGCCUUAGUUGAGUGAACCCAGGCAAGUUACCUAACCUCUCUGUGCAUUAGUCAGUGUAUCUCUGUAAAGAUUAAGUGAAUUAAUAGGUAUCAAGUUCUUAGAAGGGUGCUUGGCACCUACUAAGUGUGAGAUCCAUGUAGAUGUGACGUCACCACUGGAAGCCAGGUGAGCAGCCGAGCAGGAGGGGAGGAGGGUGGAGGGUUGGGGCGGGUAGGGGUGGGCCUGCCCAGAUGGGACUGGACAGCCGAGGCAGCCAGGGCCCUCCUCACCGCAGCACUCUCCCACUCCUGAAGUAACCUGUUCCUUAGGGCUAGUGAGAGGCUCACGAGACAGCUGUGUGAACGUGUCUUUGUUGAAAAACGCUUACUUUUUCCAGCAAAAUUGCAAAGCUUUUGAGUUCAGUUUGUCCAUCUCUCAGACUCUCACCCCGUGUCUCUUCUCUUCCCACCCUGAUGUUACAGGGCAGUGAGCACCCCAACUGGGGGAAGAGGAGCCCCAGUGACGGAAGCAGUUGCCGCUGGCAUUAGAACCACGGCCUUUCAUCUUCUCUUCCAGCAUUGAAGCGGGAGUGAAGGCAGCUUGCUUCUGGUGGCUGCUCCCCUCCUCCGGGCCCAGGCUGAGGCUCAGCGACUGCCAGGGGCUGGGGGAGCUGUGCACCCGCUGCUCCCAGGGUGUUGCUGCCGCUUGUCACAAGGCUGCUGUGGGUUUUAAGGAGGGACAGGACAGGGUGGAGAGUAGGAUUCAUCCCAGGUUAGGUGGCGGCUGGGUCUCUGCUGUUUGAGCAGUUGCGGGUCUUUGUGGGUGGUAGUUUUCUGGAUUCUUUGUCUGCCAGGCUCGCUCUGCAUCUGGCUGUUGAGCUGGGCAGGGGUGAGUGCUGGGCAGUGGUGGGUGCCAUCAGGCAGCCCCUAGGCCCGCAGGCUUGAGCAACCAGAUGGCAUCCUGAGUCAGCUGCCAUGUCCUGAGAGGGGCCUUUCUGAGAUGCUUCAUGGGUGCCUCCUGCCAACGUGCUUUCUGGAAAGACAUGUCACACAUGAGCUUCUGUCCUUGUCCUAUGGCACUGAGCUCAGAUGGAGUGUGUGACACAGCUCACAGGCCUGACUCACCCGAGUUGAGAGGGAGAUACUCCUCCGGAGCAGGGCCUGCUCAGCUGGGGUCUGGCUGCGGAGCCUGGGGUGUGGGCUGUGUGCUUCUCUGAGCCUAUGCUGUAUUCUCUGCCGUGUGCCCUGAGGAUGGCCUGUGCACGGUCGGCCCACCUCCCUGAUGCUGUGGUCAUUAUUAGGGACCUGGGCUCACACCUUAUCUAUGGUGUGGACCUGUCUGUGUCCUCACCUGGAGCCUCAGCAUCCUGAUUUCUCCAGAGGCACAGACAGUGAAACUCCCAUCAGGGUUGGGACAGUAGCUGAGUGUGCUAGUUGCAGUGACAGCUCAGGCUGAAGUAGUGUCCUGGAAGGGCGGCCCCUGUGGCUUAGUAGUUGCUGAAAUAGAACUCGUGUUCUGGGGCUUUGAAGCCUUAUGUUUAGAUUUACAGUGUGUUGAGCUACAUUAAAGUCACAAACUAGUGUCAUUGCUACCUGUGGUUUUGUGCAAACUUGGAAAGUACAUUACUGUCAAAAUCAGUUACGCAAGCAGGAAGUAGCACUUUUCAGGUUAUUGCUGUCCCAUCAGUUGUGGAGCUGGUAUUUGAGCCAUGGGGGUACUCACCACUGUACUGACAGGACAGCACAGCUGCUGUUUAACAGAGAUCCUAUACAUCGGGUUCCAUCUGCUGACUUCCGUUCUGCCUGAGCAGGAGCCAGAAAUGUUCCCUGCACAGCAUAAACUCCUAGUUGAGGCAGAGGCUGUGUUGUCAUGCUUUUGUCAUUAAGAGCACGCUGAGCCCCACCAUCUGCCCAGGGCUAGGACCCCUGAGCUCUCCAUUUCCAGCAGCAACCUCUACCAUCCUAAUCCUCUCUAGGGCCCAUCUGGUCUUGGCUCUGUCCUGUCCAAGGCCUGUCUGUGACUGGGCCUCUCCAAGCUUCUCCGUGGCCUUCCUGUCUGUGGAACAAAGCUGACUGGCCCUCCUUGGAGUGUCGUGAGGCUCCAGCCGUGUCCUCACUGAGCAUUGUCUUCCCACCGCUGCUUCUUGUUCAGGGCCUGGCAGCUUUUCACAGGCUCCUUUGGGGGUGUACCUAUUGCACAAAGGCACGUGUCUUCCCUAGUAUCCCUUCUUUUCUGCUCUUUUUUGGGAUUUUGAAGGUGCCCUGUGGAAAGGGGUAUGAUAUGCUGUUGGCAAGCCCGCGUCUUAUAUUUCUUAUAUUUCUUUCUCUCUUUCUUUCUUUUUUUGGCUGUGCCUGUGGCCUACAGAAGUUCCUGGGCCAGGGAUCAGACUUGCCCCACAGCAGUGACAACACUGGACUUUUAACCCACUGAGCCAUCGGGGAACUCCUCUUUUUCUUUCUUAACUGGGAUAUAAUGGGUCAGAUCAUUUCUGAAAACUUUGUGUUAACAACUGUAAACAUAUUCAUUUCUAAUUUAAGCCCUGUGAACUUUGAUCAUAUGCUGUCAACAUCAGUGACAUCACUGUCAUGUCUGUGUCCUAUUAUGGAGAACAGAGAAUGUAUGUAUGUUGGUUUCCUGACACACUUAGAUUUUAAGAAGUGUGGUGAGGAGUUCCCUUGUGGCUCAGUGGGUUAAGAACCCAGCAUCACAUCUGUGAGGAUGCAGGUUUGCCCCUGGCCUCACUCAGUUGUUAAGGAUCCAGCGAGUUGCAGCGUGGGUUGCAGAUGUGGCUUGGAUCUGGUGUUGCUGUGGCUGUGGUGUAGGCCAGCAGCUGUAGCUCUCAUUUGACCUUUAUGCCACAUGCGUGGCCCUGAAAAAAAAAAAAAAGAAUUGAGUUGCACAGUUGUGAACAGGUAUAAAACUCACAUUAGUUGAGGACCUACUAGGAGUGCUAGCUCUAAGCACUAUCCAGCCUUGCUUAUAAUUCUCAGCAGGGCCUUACGAGGUCAGUUUCCUAUCAUUUUCAGGUAAGAGGUAGACUCAGAGCUUCAGGUGGUACGAAGGGUGGGGCCAGGGCUGAUCUCAGGCCUGUCCAACUUCGGAGACCUCUGUUCUUCCUGGUCCACUGGUGAUUUGUUGAAGCAAAUAAAUAGCAUUUCUACAUGUAAUGUAUAAAAUGCUGAAGAGGAUGGUUGGGGUUAGAUUGUUUGGUUUUUACUGCCCAUAGGAAGCUUCAGAGUAGAGAACAGGAAAAUCAGCAACGUAAGUCACAGAAAGCAGUCACUUUCAAAGAAAAACUUAAGAAUGAUUUCAGGGUUGCUCUUAGUGCAGACUUAACUGCAGUCAGAGGAUCCCUCGCCUUGCUUCUGUGUGCCUGGCUCAGUGGCCCAUCUUUGCUCUGUGAGGAGCUGGGUUAAUGGCAGUGAGGCUGGGUUAGUCAGGGCCUCCGUGUCUUCCUUGCUGAGAGCCUGGGCUGGCUGAGCGUGGUGGUUCCCUGGGGACCCCUGCCUCAGUGCUCAGUGUUCUCUAGAGGUUCUCGUUCCACGGGUUUGAGGUGGGCCUAGGCAGGAGUGAGUCCCCCAGCCCCAUCCACCUGGGACUGGGCCCUAGCCCACACCCACACCCUGUGAGUCCUCCAGGGUUAGUAACCACUCCAGCCCAGCUUGGUCCCUCUGUGGCCCUUACCAGCAGGGGCUUUCUUCCUCCCGGGGCUCUGUGGGCCUUGCCCAUGGGGACGCCUCUGUUCUCAGCCUCCUUCAGGCUGGUGUCAGGCCUCUCUGCUGCCACCUGCCACCCCUCCCUGCAGCCUGACCUGCAGGUCCCCAGAGCAGCUCCGCCCUCCUAAGCCAGUGCAGCAACGGCGGGGUGGGGGGAGGAUAUGGCCUUCAGUCGGACUUUCUGUAUGUACUCUUUCAGGGCAAGGUGUGCCUUUUUCCUUUAGCAAGUAGGAAAUUACAGCAUGGUGUUAACUAGUACCUCCCUGGAUCCUUCCAUCCAUAGUGUCGAUUUGACUUAGGCAGCUGGGCAGCUGGUUUUUCCUCUGCAUCUAUCUGGAUUGAUCUUUCUUUCUUUCUUUCUUUCCUUCCUUCCUUCCUUCCUUCCUUCCUUCCUUCCUUCUUUCCUUCCUUCCUUCUUUCCUUCCUUCCUUCCUUCCUUCUUUCUUUUCUAGGGCCGCACCUGCGGCAUAUGGAGAUUCCCAGGCUAGGGGGUCUAAUUGGAGCUGUAGCUGCCAGUCUACACCACAGCCAUAGCAACGCAGGAUCCGAGCCGUGUCUGUGACCUAUACCACAGCUCAUGGCAAUGCUGGAUCCUUAACCCACUGAACGAGGCCAGGGGGUUGAACCUGUGUCCUCAUGGAUACUAGUUGGAUUUGUUAACCACUGAGCCACAAUGGGAACUCCUGUCUGGGAACUGCUGUCUGGAUUUCUUAAAGAGGGCCCUGCCUCACGCUAAUUAGGAACCGCUUUUGAAUUGUAAAGGCCCAUUAUAGAGCCUUUACUCCAGGAGGAAAAAAAACAGAGACUUUGUUCAAAUCUUUUCGGAUUUGCUCCUGAGCUGGGGAUGGGUGGUGGGUGUGUUUUACUGGGUCUCGUCCCAGGGGGCCAGCACCCACUUUUGGGCCCAGGCUCUGUCCUGGGCCAGCUCCUACAGGCCCCUCAGGUGGCUUCUGCCCAGAGUGUGGGUGACCAGUUGGGCAGCUCCCUCAGGUGAGGCCCACUCUGGGCUUUGAGGAGCGCAUUGCUUCCCCCUCACUCUCGCCCUGCCUAGGAAGCCCACUCCUCACUGCUGGCUGUGCUUUCCCUGCCCCUCUUGCUCCUCUCACUCUGUGGGCUCUGUGCCAGUCACCCGGAGCAGCUGACUGCUCCUUUCCCAGAGCAGAACUGAAACAGACCUUUGUGGGUGUGUUUUGUAAGCUCCUGUGGUUCUUGGAUUUGGCUUCAUGACUCUAUUCUGGAGCUGGGCCCCUCCUCCGCUGGGCCUUUUCUUCCAUCAUCUGUUUUACGUUCCAGCUCUGAACUGAUGUUGCUUCCUUGGCAUCCUUCCCCUGUCCUUCAUCCUAAGCUAUGAGGGGGCAGUUUUGCUGGAUGGUCUGUCAGGCCUUCAGAUGAACCUGCCUCUUCUCUGAAUGACCCGGAUUAGUCUUCAGUGGAGGCGUGAUUGACAUUUCGGGCUGCACAGUUCUUGUCUGCAGGACUGUCUUGUGCAACUCAGGACUUUUAGCCUCCCAGCCCCUGAGAGUAUCAGUGGUUGUCAGCAGCUGGGGCGGGGUGGUGUCACAGGCCUGGCAUCUAAGGGGUGGGGCUCGGUGCUCUAGUGCAAGGUCCUGCCGGAUGCUGGUUCUGAAUGCUGUGCCACCCUGUUGAGGAACUCUCCGGGACUGCCUGACAUUCCCUGGAGAUUACAGUCUGGCUGGCUGGUUGUUUGUCUUGGUUUCUCUUACUCCUGCCUUAUACCCAGUUUUUAUUGGUUAGAGUUAUGCAAAGGUGCUUGCUGCUUCAUCUUUGCUGAGCCUAACAUGACAGUGAGAUUAACUGUGCUCUGGACUUCCUGAGGCUCCCAGUCUUCUCAGUGGGAGGUGAGGACAGGGAGAUGGUCCUCCUCACACCCUUAUCUCUUGAUAUCUAGGUGUUGGUAGGUGUCCCUGCACCCCUGCCCACAUACCCACUCAGUCUCUGGUUCUUGAGCAAGGUUCACUUUUUUUUACUACUCAUUUCUUCAAAAUUUACCCUUCUGUAUUUAUUACCCAUACAUCAUGUUGUUAGUAUAUGAAUUUCUGAAGCUGUAAAAUGUAUUUAUAGAUUAUUUUAAAAUUUUCUCUGUCCCAUGUAUAUUAUAUCUGUACUCCUCUGUUGUUUUUGCUUCUUUUUCUCCUUUUUUUUCUUUUUCUUUUUAGGGCCGAACCUGCAGCAUAUGGAAGUUCCCAGGUUAGGGGUUGAAUUGGAGCUGUAGUUGCCAGCCUAUGACACAGCCACAGGAAUGCUAGAUCUGAGCUGCAUCUGUGACCUACACUACAGCUCACAGCAAUGCUGGAUCCUUAACCCACUGAGCAGGGCCAGGAAUUGAACCUGCAUCUUCAUGGGUACUAGUUGGGUUCCUAACCAGCCGUGCCACAAUAGGAGCUCCUAUUCUUUUUUUGACUCCAAUUUCAAAAUUCUAUCUGGAAUUUUUUUUCUUGUCUAUAUUUGGUUUAAACAUCUUUUUUUUGUUUUGUUUUGUUUUUUUGCUUUUCAGGGCUCCACCCACAGCAUAUGGAAGUUCCCAGGCUAGGGGUCCAGUCAGAGCUACAGCUGCUGACCUAUGCCACAGCCACAGCAAUGCAGGAUCUGAGCUGUGUCUGUGACCUACACCAUAGCUCAAGGCAACACUGGAUCCUUAACCCACUGAGCAAGGCCCAGGAUAGAAUGCUCAUUCUCAUGGAUACUAGUUCGUUUUGUUUCUGUUGAGCCACAACAGGAACCCCCGGUUUAUUUUAUUUUAUUUUGGUCUUUUUGUCUUUUUAGGGCCGCACCCAAGGUAUAUGGAGGGUCCCAGGCUAGGGGUCUAAUCAGAGCUAUAGCCGCCGUCCUACACCACAGCUACAGCAAUGCCAGAUCCUUAAUCCACUGAGGCCAGGGAUUGAACCUGAAACCUCAUGGUUCCUAGUCAGAUUCGUUCUUGCUGCGCCAUGCCGGGAACUCCAGGAACCCCCUUGGUUUAAAACAUCUUUGUUAGCUUGGUAGGAUUCAGACCAUAAGGGGUGUGGUAUCUUUCUAUUUCUAGCCAAGCAUCUUACUCUGGUGUCUUGCCAAGGACCAGAAGAUCAAAGUACAUAGAGCCCUGCUCAUCCUGAGCCCCUGCUUCCCAUCCAUUUCCUAACACGAUCAUUAAAGCGAGUGUUUAAGCAUGACCCUGUCUUUGGGGUGAUACCAGAGUGGGAGUGUGGGUAUGAGACUUUUCUCUCCCUCCUGAACCUGCUCAGGUGUUAGGAUCCCCAGGUGAGCCUUUGUGAUGAAUCCAGGCAUUAGGAGGCAGGCUGGUAGGCUGAGUAGUCUCUCAGGCUCCAUGCUUUCCCCCUGCAGGCUCUGGAAGAGAGGCCAGGCCACCCCUUCUCCCGCUGCAGGGCUCACAGCUAUGGUUGCCAGCAUUUUCCUAAUGGAAGCUAAGCAUUGCUUUUUUUUUUCCCCGUUUUUUGACACAGCAUAUAGAAGUUCCUGGGCCAGGGAUUAGAUCUGAGCUGCAGUUGUGACCUACGCCGCAGCUGUGGCAACGCCGCCGGGUCCUUAACCCACUGUCCUGGGCUGGGGAUCAAACCCAAGUCCCAGUGUUCAAGACACCACCAAUCCUAUUGUGCCACAGGGGGAACUCCCUAAGCAUUGCUUAGAAAUGGAACUCUUCUUCUCACUGUGCAGCUCUUUAAAAAUCCCCAUUUCUUGGAGUUCCCGUUAUGGUGCAGUGGUUAACGAAUCCUACUGGAACCAUGAGGUUGCGGGUUAGAUGCCCGGCCUUGCUUAGUGGGUUAAGGAUCUGGCGUUGCUGUGAGCUGUGGUGUAGGUCGCAGAUGCGGCUUAGAUUCCACAUUGCUGUGGCUGUGGGGUAGCCCGGCAGCAACAGCUUCGAUUCGAUCCCUAGCCUGGGAACCUCCAUAUGCUGUGGGAGCGGCUCUAGAAAAGGCAAAAAGACAAAAAAAAAAAAAAAAAAAA